UAAAAAAACAUGAAGGCAACUUAAAUGCAUAUUACUCAGUGAAUGAUGCCAGUCUGAAAAGGCUGCAUAACCCAUGCUUCCAACUACAUGACAUCUGGAAAAGUCAAAACUAUGGAGACAAUAAAAAGAUCAGUGGCUGCCAGAGGUUAGGGAGGAAGAAGGGACGAAUAGGCAGAGGUUUGGAAGGUUUUUAGGGCAGUGAAACUAUUCUAUAUGCUACUGUAAUCAUACUUGUGCAUCAUACUUGUGCAAACCCAUAGAGUGUAUAACACCAACAGUGAACCGUAAUGUAAACUCUGGACUCUGGGUGAUAAUGGUGUGUCAAUGUCAGUCUAUUGAUUCUAACAAAUGUGCCAUGGUGAUGUGCACACAUUCUAACAAAUGUGCCACAUUCUAACAAAUGUGCCAUGGUGAUGUGCACACAUUCUAACAAAUGUGCCACAUUCUAACAAAUGUGCCAUGGUGAUACACAUCAUACUUGUGCAAACCCAUAGAGUGUAUAACACCAACAGUGAACCGUAAUGUAAACUUUGGACUCUGGGUGAUAAUGGUGUGUCAAUGUCAGUCUAUUGAUUCUAACAAAUGUGCCAUGGUGAUGGGAAUGUCUGACGGAGAAAAUGGGCAUACACUAAAAACAAAACAUAUAGUGAUCAUCCUAACUUCUGACUGACCACCCUGGUUCAUUGCUGGGACUCACAUGAGACCAGGCCUUCCUGAAAAGUGUGACCUGGCCGGCCAGAAAAGAGAAGCAAAAUUCAACUCAGAGAAUCAAUAAGGAGUUUCCCGAAGCUGUACUGUUUCCUUCUAGCAGAACCAGGCUCAGGCCCCAGACGUCUGACUCUCAGGCAAGUGCCCCUUCCGAUAUAUCACAAUGGAUGUCCCGCACAUCUCAUGCUUAUUCCAAUAUUGCUACUACAGAGAAAUGGUGGUAGUGGAGGUCAGCAGUGUUUAAUUUUCCCCAGUCCCUGCAACCCCUAAGGCUGUUUAUUUUAUAAGAUAUUUAAAGUUACCUCUUAUUGAAGAGGAAGAAAGUA
rnacentral:lncRNA from 13 species